rnacentral:rRNA from 1 species
GGAUUAGAUACCCUGGUAGUCCAUGCCGUAAACGAUGGAUACUCGGUGUCGACCUAAUUGAGGGUCUGCGCCUGAGCGAAAGCGUUAAGUAUCCCACCUGGGGAGUACGUCGGCAACGAUGAAACUCAAAGGAAUUGACGGGGGUCCGCACAAGCGGUGGAGUAUGUGGUUUAAUUCGAUGAUACGCGAGGAACCUUACCUAGGCUCGAAUGGCUCCGGAAUCGUCCAGAGAUGGGCGAGUCUUCGGACUGGAGUCAAGGUGCUGCAUGGUUGUCGUCAGCUCGUGCCG